GGAAGACGAUGAUGAGGACGCUGUAGAUAGCUCCCAACAAACAAACGGAGAAACCGGUUUUCCCGACAGCCAGGAACUGUUUCUCACCCUGGACCUGGAGCCAGUACCCCCCAAACCCACCUAAGGCUGCCUACCGGACCCACCAGGCGAAGAAGAAGGGACCUCUGCUGCAUGUGUUUCAAGGAUCACAGGAUCUUCUCCUUCCCAGAGGC